UAGGACAAACCCCCUGCCUGAGGUCACCCA
rnacentral:piRNA from 1 species